rnacentral:tRNA from 1 species
GAGGGUAUAGCUCCAUGGUGGAGUGCAUGCUUAGUAUGCAAGAGUUCCUGGGUUCAAUCCCCAGUGCCUCCA